rnacentral:rRNA from 1 species
GCCCAGCUUGCUGGGUACUCGAGUGGCGAACGGGUGAGUAACACGUGGGUGAUCUGCCCUGCACUCUGGGAUAAGCCUGGGAAACUGGGUCUAAUACCGGAUAUGACCAACUGUCGCAUGGUGGUUGGUGGAAAGCUUUUGCGGUGUGGGAUGGGCCCGCGGCCUAUCAGCUUGUUGGUGGGGUAAUGGCCUACCAAGGCGACGACGGGUAGCCGACCUGAGAGGGUGAUCGGCCACACUGGGACUGAGACACGGCCCAGACUCCUACGGGAGGCAGCAGUGGGGAAUAUUGCACAAUGGGCGCAAGCCUGAUGCAGCGACGCCGCGUGAGGGAUGACGGCCUUCGGGUUGUAAACCUCUUUCACCAGGGACGAAGCGGAAGUGACGGUACCUGGAGAAGAAGCACCGGCCAACUACGUGCCAGCAGCCGCGGUAAUACGUAGGGUGCGAGCGUUGUCCGGAAUUACUGGGCGUAAAGAGCUCGUAGGCGGUUUGUCGCGUCGUCUGUGAAAUUCUGCAACUCAAUUGCAGGCGUGCAGGCGAUACGGGCAGACUUGAGUACUACAGGGGAGACUGGAAUUCCUGGUGUAGCGGUGAAAUGCGCAGAUAUCAGGAGGAACACCGGUGGCGAAGGCGGGUCUCUGGGUAGUAACUGACGCUGAGGAGCGAAAGCGUGGGUAGCGAACAGGAUUAGAUACCCUGGUAGUCCACGCCGUAAACGGUGGGUACUAGGUGUGGGUUCCUUUUCA